ensembl:lncRNA TEX14BP testis expressed 14B, pseudogene
GCUCAAGCACCUCGGAUUCCCGCUCAUACAGCCGGCCGGAUCAUGUGGCAGUCAGGUGGCGACCACUAUCUAGCCCAACGUUGCUGGAGUUGUUGCAGCUCUGCCGGGCCCACAUAUCAGCGUUCGUGCAUGACGGUGAGUUGCCACCCAUGGCAUCUCUGGACCAGUUGCAGGCCAGAUUUGGGAACAGCCCGCCUGGCUCCCUGUCCUCCCUGAGGCUGAUGCAGGCAGACAGCCUCCUGUGGAUGGGUCACAAAAUGACUGUGCAGCAGCCGAAGGCCCCUGGAACCCAGACAGAUGUGCUACUGGCUGACCUUCAGCACUGCAGGUACCUGUGCCAGCCCCCAGCCCCGCCUCCUGUUGGCCCUCCCACGGAAGACAAGGGUGUGUGGCCGUAGUCAUGGCCAGAAUCUUCACUUCUGGGCCAGCACCCGGCAUGGAGCCCUUCUGCUGGGGCGAUCCCCCCACUGGAAAGUGGGUGGGUACCAGUUGUGUGUGCAAUGCCCUGUAGGCCUGAGAGGAGGUGGGGGUGUGGAAGGCACCAGGAUGAGGUAGGCGGUGGGUGCUGGCCCUCCCACUGCUGGGCUGCGUGACCUGGGAUCAGUCUUUCCUCUGUCUGAUGGCAGGUGCAGAUUGCCUGCCCUGGCACGUGGUGGGCAGUCUGGGCCCAGGAGCAUCUCCCACCCUGUGUGGCUGGGGCCUGCUCGUGAGUGGCCUGCUGUCCUCCUGCCCAGCAAGCUGCACCACCCUGGCCUGUUGCUGCUGAUGGCACUGAGUCCCUCUGCAGAUCUGUCGGGGCUGUGCCUUCUCUUUGAGCCUGUGUGGCUGGGCUCCCUGCAGGGGGUGCUGCACCCACCGAGACCAAGUGAGGAGGCACCUGGGACUGUGCUGGGCCUGCCGCCCCGGCCCCCUGCUGCAGCAGGUGCUAAAGGCCCUGCUGUUCCUGCAGGCCCACUGGCGAGCUCACAGUGGCUUCAGCUCUCACACCGUGUAGCUGGUGCAGCCAGGCCUGGCUAAAGUGGGCCACCUGGAGCACAGGCGCCUCCUACGCCAGCGCUGGCUGCGGCCCAGGCAGCAGAAGGGCUACCCCUGGGGAGGCCCAGGCCCAGGGCUUCCCCCGCCCCCUGAACUACACCCAUGGCUGCCACUUCAGCUGAUCUGCGGUGACAUGCCCACCACCACCUCAGACCUCUACAGCUUCUGCAUCCUGAUCCAGGAGGUCUUCACUGAGAAACUGUACAUCAAGUGGCUCACAGAGCCAAGACCACACCCAGGCCUGUGGCCCCUGUGAUGUCCCCAGGCCCCAUCCCAUGCCAGGCCUGAGACUCCUGAGGUCAGAGACCACAGCAGGAUCCCAAGGGGUGCAGCCUGGAACUUGGGCAGCAGCUUGACUCUAGGCAGCAGCUCUGGGCCCAGCCCAGGACCCAGCCCUGGGUCUGGCCACAGCCCCACAGCCAGGGUCAGCCUGCACUGCUGCCUGGAGCCCAGCUCAACAGUACAGAUACCCCCAGAGCCCUGCACAACUGUCCCACUGCUAACCUGUGACCCCCUCCGCCCGCCCUCCAGGAGUCACCAACCCGAAGUUCCCUGGCUGCCUCUCCUUUGACCAGGGAACUUUAGGGUCGCCCAACUGUCCCCUCACUCACCUAUGACCCUUAACCAACCCUGCUUCCCCCAGGGCCCUUCCCUGCACUCCAACUCCAGCCUCUAGGACUCAGCCUCCCUGCUGGGGACCCAGAGCUCUGCGGAACAGUUUGAGGAAGCUCUCAGCCAAGAUUCCAGCCCUGCAGGGGCUGCUGCGGCGCACACACAGGGUUAUUCUGCUGGAGCCCCAGCCCUGUGAGCCCAUCCCCAGCCUGCUGACCCACAGGGAGGCUUCCCACACACUGGGAGGCUGCUGGCAGGGAAGGCCACGAGGGCAGGCUAAGCAGAGGACCCCGAGCUCAGCCUGUGCCCCAUCUGCCCUCCCAGGCCCGCUGGAGCACCAUGGCUACCAGGUGGCAGCUCCAGCCUUCUCUCCUGCAGGCACCCGGUACUGAGCUGACUAGAGGAGGUCUCUUCUCCAGCCUGCAGAAGAUGGACCUGCUGGAGGAGAUCAUAGCAGAGCUACAAAAAGGAUGUCAGCUUGGAGAAAAGCCCAGCCUGAGCCCCACUCCUGACCUAGACUCCCAGGGUGCCCAUGGUUCCCCUCUCUGCAGAUACCACCUCUCAGAGGCUCCCAGGAGUAACUCCUGCCUUGGUGCCUCCCCAAAAGGAAAUAGAAUGAUAAAGUGCC